GAAGAGCCAUAGCUCAGUGGUGGAGCAUCUGCCUUGCCAGCAGACGGUCCCAAGUUCAAUCCCUGGCAUCUUCA